rnacentral:misc_RNA from 1 species
UCACCCCUCAAGCUCGGCUUGUUGUUGGACGUUGGCGGCGGCCUUUAGUGGCGUACCGCCCGUCUCAAAGAUAAUGACGGCGUCUGUGAGGACUCCUGUACACUGAGCUUUCGGGCACGUACUAGGCUGAUACUCGCAGACCCGGUCUUUAGGGUUCGCUUCGGCGAGCCCAACUUUUUACCAA